AUAGUAUUUCAUAAUCUAUUAUAGUUUUUCUACUAGUAAUUGUUUAUUAAAUACUUUGUUCUCUUUAGAGAAUUGUUGUAGAUGUUUAAGAGUUGUUUUUUUGUAUGCUUUAAUUUGAUUUUUUGAGUUAUUGCUGUAUUUAUGUUUUUCAUCAUGUCUGGUCUAAUCUUGUGUCUCCGGCUGUUCAUACAGGUCCUUACAUAAAGUAUUGACAUAUCAAGGAGAGGCAAAAUUUUUUCAAUGUAGCAGUCGUUUUAAUACCACAUUAUCAGGGAGGCUGCAAUAACGCAUUGAGAUCAUUUCACCCACUGCUUUAGAUAAUUAUUUGAAGCUGUGCGUUUUAGUUGCUGAUGAGAUCUGAGACUGCCAUUUGCGUCAUUCUUGCAAGUUUUUUUUUGAUAAUGUCGGAAUGAGUUCCAGUCCAGGCUGUUUUCACACUAACUGGAGUACUAAGGAGCAGUUUAUGUAUAUAUCUAUUCUUCUAAACCUUGGAGUUAAAAUUUCUUUUACACAUGCAACAUUACAGAUUGACACAUUUUAUGAAUCUAAUAGAAGACACCAAGAAAUUGUUUGCCUGAGGAUUUACUGGCUUCACCCUACUUUUACGUAAUUAAUGCAACUAGAACAUCAUUAAAACCAACACACUCAAGUCUACUCAAGGAGCACCCAGCAGAAUCUAUAAAAUGUAACCACAGUAUAGUCAAGCAGUUUUUACAAGGAAGUCGACUAGAUGGGAUCCUUUCCAAAUCUCCUACGGUCCUGAUGGUUUGAAGCUGAACUUGGAGGGUCCUUUGCUUGGUCCUAUGCUUUUCCAUGAUCUUUUUUCUUGUCUC